UUCCGGUUGAUCCUGCCGGACCCGACUGCUAUUUGGGUGAGAAUAAGCCAUGCGAGUUGAAUGGGAUACCUAAAGUUCCCAUAGCAAACUGCUCAGUAACACAUGAUCAACUUACCCUAUAGAGAAAAAUAACCUCGGGAAACUGAGGAUAAUAUUUCAUAAUUGAAUUGGCUUGGAAAAGUUUUUCAAUGAAAGGGAUAAAAAAAAAUGGUUUUUAUCUGCUAUAGGAUAGGAUCGUGUUCGAUUAUGGUUGUUGGUGAGAUAAUGGCUCACCAAGCCGAUAAUCGAUAGGGGCCGUGAGAGCGGGAGCCCCGAGAUGGGUACUGAGACAACGACCCAGGCCUUACGAGGCGCAGCAGGCGCGGAACCUCCGCAAUACACGAAAGUGUGACGGGGUUACCCAAAGUGUUCAAUAGAACUGUGGUAGGUGAGUAAUGUCCCCUACUAGAAAGGAGAGGGCAAGGCUGGUGCCAGCCGCCGCGGUAAAACCAGCUCUUCAAGUGGUCGGGAUAAUUAUUGGGCUUAAAGUGUCCGUAGCCGGUUUAGUAAGUUCCUGGUAAAAUCGGGUAGCUUAACUAUCUGCAUGCUAGGAAUACUACUAUACUAGAGGGCGGGAGAGGUCUGAGGUACUACAGGGGUAGGGGUGAAAUCUUAUAAUCCUUGUUGGACCACCAGUGGCGAAGGCGUCAGACUGGAACGCGCCUGACGGUGAGGGACGAAGCCAGGGGAGCGAACCGGAUUAGAUACCCGGGUAGUCCUGGCCGUAAACGAUGCAUACUAGGUGAUGGCACGGCCAUGAGCCGUGUCAGUGCCGUAGGGAAACCGUUAAGUGUGCCGCCUGGGAAGUACGGUCGCAAGGCUAAAACUUAAAGGAAUUGGCGGGGGAGCACCACAAGGGGUGAAGCCUGCGGUUCAAUUGGACUCAACGCCGG
rnacentral:rRNA from 1 species